CGUGAACGCUGGCGGCGUGCUUAACACAUGCAAGUCGAACGGAAAGGCCCCUUCGGGGGUACUCGAGUGGCGAACGGGUGAGUAACACGUGGGCAAUCUGCCCUGCACUUCGGGAUAAGCCUGGGAAACUGGGUCUAAUACCGGAUAGGACCUUUAGACGCAUGUCUUUUGGUGGAAAGCUUUUGCGGUGUGGGAUGGGCCCGCGGCCUAUCAGCUUGUUGGUGGGGUGAUGGCCUACCAAGGCGACGACGGGUAGCCGGCCUGAGAGGGUGUCCGGCCACACUGGGACUGAGAUACGGCCCAGACUCCUACGGGAGGCAGCAGUGGGGAAUAUUGCACAAUGGGCGCAAGCCUGAUGCAGCGACGCCGCGUGGGGGAUGACGGCCUUCGGGUUGUAAACCUCUUUCACCAUCGACGAAGGUUCGGGUUUUCUCGGAUUGACGGUAGGUGGAGAAGAAGCACCGGCCAACUACGUGCCAGCAGCC
rnacentral:rRNA from 1 species